AACUAUAUAGAAAAACGAUACUUUUAAGCGAGACAAACGAGUCAUAAACAUAAUUAGUUCUGUUAAUGCUCCACGUUCAUAGGUAACAACUUAACUGUUAAAUAAUAUUGGAGCUAAAACAGGAAAAAAGAAAAUCCAAACAAAAAAUCACUUCAAGUAAGAAAGUUUUUAUGUGAAAAUUUUCUUCCUGCCAAAUUACAUUUCCACAGGCUACCCAACUCUGGCGAAAAUGGAAAUCCUUAAGGAAGUCUAACCACAUGUACUCUCACGUAUUUUGUGAGCUAAACUUAAAAGUAAAUUAAACUUAUUUUAAGUAAGCCAAACGUGCACUAGGUGACAAAUCGUUAAUAUAAAUAUGUAACUUUAGGGUUGUGCAGACCAUUCAGAGUUGAUAUAGCUGUUUCUAUUUUUAUCUUCAAAACAUCAAUCUCCUCGUUAUCAGCCUGAAAAAAAUGUAAAAACUAUAUCAAACAAGCAGCAAUUAAAUAAUAGCUAGCUCUUAUACAAAUUAACAAGAAAGUCUAGGAAUGCAUCACCACGAGAUCCAAUCAUGUCAUUUUUCUUGUUGCAAAUAUGAACACAACGGAAAUAGAAAGUGGAUCGACCAUUAGAGAAUGGAAAAUUCUACUUGUACAUAAUUAUUGCACAUAAUGAUGUC
rnacentral:lncRNA from 1 species